rnacentral:snoRNA from 12 species
AGCUUAAUGAUGAUUGUCUUUUUGAUUGCUCAAAGCAACGUGAAAAAUGCAUUUCACCGGCUCUGAAAGCU